UACGAAGGGGGCUAGCGUUGUUCGGAAUUACUGGGCGUAAAGCGCACGUAGGCGGAUAUUUAAGUCGAGGGUGAAAUCCCGGGGCUCAACCCCGGAACUGCCUUCGAUACUGGGUAUCUAGAGUCCGAGAGAGGUGAGUGGAAUUCCGAGUGUAGAGGUGAAAUUCGUAGAUAUUCGGAGGAACACCAGUGGCGAAGGCGGCUCACUGGCUCGGUACUGACGCUGAGGUGCGAAAGCGUGGGGAGCAAACAGG
rnacentral:rRNA from 1 species